rnacentral:misc_RNA from 1 species
ACAAACUUGGUCAUUUAGAGGAAGUAAAAGUCGUAACAAGGUUUCCGUAGGUGAACCUGCGGAAGGAUCAUUAAAGAGUUGGGGUCCCUCGGGGCCCGAUCUCCCGCCCUUUGUCGUUGCGAGUAAUUGUUGCUUUGGCGUGGCCCGCGAACCCCCCGCCAGGGGGGCGAGCGACCGGGCUCCGGCCCGGGCAGCGCCCGCCAGAGGUUUUACGCACAAACUCUUCAGUCGAAACACUGCAGUCCGAGCAUACAAGUCUAAUAAAUCAAAACUUUCAACAACGGAUCUCUUGGUUCUGGCAUCGAUGAAGAACGCAGC